CAUUAGGCGAGAAACCAUUCUCUUCGUCUCCUCAAUAUAACCUCUUCAUGCCUCUUAGUUCCUCCUCUCUCUUCUUCUUGUCAUUUCUCCCCUUGUUCCAAUCGAAUCAUUCAUUGAAAGUAAAUCUCCAUUCUAUUUUCUUUCCCAUUUUGCUUUUCUUCCUUUGCCUAUGAAAGGUGUUCGAAUUACUAAAAACUAUCAAGAUUUUAGUGGUCAUAACUUGAACAGUCAAGGGGGAGAAAGAAGGGUAACUGGUGUGAAAAGAAAGAGUGGCUCUGUCGGUAUUCGAUGAUCGAGUUGGUAAGGGUUACACGACUGAGAUCGAUUUUAGUUAUGAGGUCUCUGCAAUGAAGACACCGAUGCUUAGAGGAAUGUGGGCAAUAUUUUGGAGACAAUAAAAGUUUACAAAAACAAGCCUGCAUAUAUCAUUUAAGCGCAUAUUGAUACAGACUAUAUGCCAUAGGGGAAGAGGUACUUGGAUUUAUUUUUAAAGAGACAAAGGCUUUGUCUACUAUUCAAACCUAGCUUGUUGGACAUCAAAGCCAUCUUCAUACAAAAUUAAAAUAUUGUAUCCUCCUACUCUAAUACACCCUUACAGCCUAUAUUCAGAAGUAUCCAUGUUUCACCAUUCAGUUCAUGCCAAAUUAUAUGGGGUGUUGGAGAGGGGAACUCACUCAGAAAAGAGCUUCUCUAUUACUACAAGGUUUCAAAUUGUUUUUCUCUACAGAUGCAGAAAGAAGCUAUUUAUGGUUUGACAGAAAUUUUAAGAGAAGAAUUUCAGCAUGGCUAAUUGCUAAACCUGGUUGCUAUCCUACAUCCAUUCAGCUUUCUCUUGUUCCUUUGAUAAAGAUGUAUUGCUAUAUGCCAUGAGCUAAAUCUCCAUGAUGUAAUAAUGAAAAGUGGUUGCAAGGUUUAGUGCUAGCGUGCAUAAGAGGGAGUUAGAUGUGGACACUGAACAUUACACUCUUAUGGACUUGUUAAGUGGCAAAUAGGUUUAAUGUUGUGAGGAGGAAUGAAAACUAGACAGCUUAUGUAAUGUUGAUCAAGGAUUCCUAAAUCUUUAAAUAAUAAGUCAAUG